rnacentral:rRNA from 1 species
GACGUAGGGCGCGAGCGUUGUCCGGAUUUAUUGGGCGUAAAGCGCGCGUAGGCGGCUUUGUAAGUUAGAGGUGAAAGCCCGGGGCUCAACCCCGGAACUGCCUUUAAGACUGCAUCGCUUGAAUCCGGGAGAGGUGAGUGGAAUUCCGAGUGUAGAGGUGAAAUUCGUAGAUAUUCGGAAGAACACCAGUGGCGAAGGCGGCUCACUGGACCGGUAUUGACGCUGAGGUGCGAAAGCGUGGGGAGCAAACAGG